UGUCAGCAGUGCAGAAGUGAGUCCUACUUUUGACCAGGGAAGAGGAACAGAAAUUGGGGGAAGGGCUCUGGCUGGCAAAGUUGUCUUUUCAUGGUUGAGUUGUUAUAUAAUAGCUGUUACUAUAUAAUGAGAGAUCAGAACAGAACUCACACACAGAACCAGACCACAUCCUCAGAGACCAGAACAUCAGAGACCAUCUAGACAAUACAAUCUUCAACAUCUCAACCAUCUCUGUACCAUGAAGACCCUGACUGCUCUACUCCUCCUGGGACUGCUCUGCUCCCUCCAUAAGACGUCUGCAGGGGUGUGUGUGUGUGUGUGUGUGUGUGUGUGUGUGUGUGUGUGUGUGUAUAUAUCUUGAUUUUCUUGUCUUCACCAAUUCAUUUUUAUUUGUUUUCUGAGGUCAAGUGGCAGAUUCAUGAUCUACCGUCUGGGACUGGCAGAGACUGCUGUUUAAAGUCCUACACCACCAGGAUGCCUGUCUCUCUCUGGUGGUUUCUGCUGUUUAAAGUCCUACACCACCAGGAUGCCUGUCUCUCUCUGGUGGUUUCUGCUGUUUAAAGUCCUACACCACCAGGAUGCCUGUCUCUCUCUGGUGGUUUCUGCUGUUUAAAGUCCUACACCACCAGGAUGCCUGUCUCUCUCUGGUGGUUUCUGCUGUUUAAAGUCCUACACCACCAGGAUGCCUGUCUCUCUGGUGGUGUCUGCUGUUUAAAGUCCUACACCACCAGGAUGCCUGUCUCUCUGGUGGUGUCUGCUGUUUAAAGUCCUACACCACCAGGAUGCCUGUCUCUCUCUGGUGGUUUCUGCUGUUUAAAGUCCUACACCACCAGGAAGCCUGUCUCUCUCUGGUGGUUUCUGCUGUUUAAAGUCCCCUGUGGCUCAGUUGGUAGAGCAUGGUGUUUGCAACACCAGGGUUGUGGGUUCGAUUCCCACGGGGGACCAUUACGGGGGAAAAAGAUGUAUGAAAUGUAUGCAUUCACUACUGUAAGUCACUCUGGAUAAGAGCAUCUGCUAAAUGACUAGAAUGUAAAUGUAAAAUAUGUAUCCUCCUAACUUGAAGGGGUAAGCAUAGUAGGCUCUAGACUAGAGUCUAGAGGAUCCUAUUCUCCAGUAUGUUAACAUAUGUAUCCUCCUAACUUGAAGGGGUAAGCAUGGUAGACUAGAGUCUAGAGGAUCCUAUUCUCCAGUAUAUUAACAUAUGUAUCCUCCUAACUUGAAGGGGUAAGCAUGGUAGACUAGAGUCUAGAGGAUCCUAUUCUCCAGUAUAUUAACAUAUGUAUCCUCCUAACUUGAAGGGGUAAGCAUGGUAGGCUCUAGACUAGAGUCUAGAGAAUCCUAUUCUCCAGUAUAUUAAAAUAUGUAUCGGCAGAGCCACACAAUCAGAUUGUUGCAUUUCAACGGCAAACGAAAUCUCAGGAAAAUAAAUGAUAAAUAAAAAAUAUAUGAAAUAAACACACAAUGAUAUAUUAGACAAAGCUUUUUAAACAUUUAAUUAAAAAGACUGCAUGGGGGCUUUAUUGAAGACCUUUGGAUGGGAAGACUUCUGAGAACAGUUUAACCAUAGGCCUAUUGACUGAUAGAUAGAAAUACCCAGAGCCUUACAGUGAUUUCAGAAAGUAUUCAGACCCCUUGACUUUUUCCACAUUUUGUUACGUUACAGCUAUAUUGUAAAAUAGAUUUUUUUUAAAUGUCCCUCAUCAAUCUACACACAAUACCCCAUAAUGACAAAGCAAAAACAGGUUUAGAAUUUUUUUUCUCAUUUAUAAAAAAAGAAAAACUGAAAUAUGACAUUUACAUAAGUAUUCAGACCCUUUACUCAGUACUUUGUUGAAGAACCUUUUGCUGCGAUUACAGCGUUGAGUCUUCUUGGGUAUGACGCUACAACCUUCUCCCCCGAUUGCUCAGUUUGGUCAGGCGGCCAGCUCUAGGAAGAGUUUUGGUGGUUCCAAACUUCUUCUAUUUAAGAAUGAUGGAGGCCACUGUGUUCUUGGUGACCUGCUGCAGAAAUGUUUUGGUAGCCUUCCCCAGAUCUGUGCCUCGACACCAUCCUGUCUCGGAGCUCUAUGGACAAUUCCUUCGACCUCAUGUCUUGGUUUUGCUCUGACAUGCACUGUCAACUGUGGGACCUUAUAUAGACAGGUGUGUGCCUUUCCAAAUCAUGUCCAAUCAAUUGAAUUUACCACAGGUGGACUCCAAUCAAGUUCUAGAAACAUCUCAAGGAUGAUCAAUGGAAACAGGAUGCACCUGAGCUCAAUUUCAAGUCUCAUAGCAAAGGGUCCGAAUACUUAUGUAAAUAAGGUAUUUCUAUUUUUUGAUAAAUUUGCAAAGAUUUUUUUUAAACGGUUUUUAAUUUGUCAUGGGGUAUUGUGUGUAGUAGAUUGCUGAGAUGUGUUGUUGUUGUCAUUUAAUCCAUUUUCUAAUAUGGCUGUAACGUAAAGAAUUCUGGAAAAGUAAUGGGGUCUGAAUACUUUCCGAAGGCAAUGUAUAUCUCAAUAUAUGGAUUUCACUAUAAGGACUCUAACCGUUAUAAUUACGUGGGGCUUAUAUGAACCUCGGGGAACGUAGCCUACGUGCUCCUCAUUGCUCGGUUAUCUCGGAGAUGUGCCACGUGCGUAAGGACGCAGGAUAGCGGCACGCACUGCGCAUGGCACUUUCUCGUUCAUCAGCUGUGCCACCGCGUCAUAUCUUCCAACACAGUCCGAACUUCCUCGCAUGCCUCUCCGGCAGCCCAUCCACUAUAGCUGCUCAUAUCCAAUGAGCAUUUUUCACCGGGCGCCACCGGAAACCUUCCCGCGGCUCAUUGUGGAGAGCACAAGCAGAGCUGGGCGUCAUCAUGAAUUAAAGAAAAGCCUGCAUUUACAAAUCUGAUCACCAAACCCCGCUGCAAGUGUGGUGUGGUUGGACCAGCAGCAGCGGAGCUGGUGCAGCGGAGAUGGUUUUGGACCCGGGUGAGGACUGUAUGGAUCGGACAGACGUCGACGAGGUCGGAGGGGGCAGCAGCACCACAGACCUGACGGGUCCAGAACCAAGACCGGAACCUCGCAAAACCACCACCAACACCAGACUAGAAAACACCAGCCCAGAGCCUCCCAAAACCACCACCAACACCAGACUAGAAAACACCAGCCCAGAGCCUCCCAAAACCACCACCAACACCAGACUAGAAAACACCAGCCCAGAGC
rnacentral:lncRNA from 1 species